GGGUCGGACCUCGGAGCAUUCAGCAUCCUCUGCCCCUCCGUGCGCUUUCCCCCAGCGAGUCCGCUCAGGCGGGGCUCCUGGGGAAGCCAGAGGGUCCUGCACCCCAACUUCGCAGUCAGACGUGACUCUCAGCCAGCCAGUAAAACAGAAGGUUUAUUAGACGACAGGAACAUGGUCUAAAACAGAGCUUGCAGGUGCAGAGAACGGGACCCCUCAGCUGGGUCCAUUCUGGGGGCAGUGAGCCAGACAACCACGUCUGCACUUCACUCCAUGUCCCAGCCAGCCCCAAACUGAAAACCCCCUCCAGCCCCUCCUCCUCUGGGCUUUGUUCCUUUCCCGGGCCAGGUGGUCACCUGAUUCCUUUGUUCUCCAACCCUUUAGCUCUCACCUUGCAGGGGGGAAGGGCCCAGGCCAUCAGUUGCCAGGAAACAGGGUGUCGGCCAUUCUCUGUGUCCAGACCCCUGCACACACCUGCCCUCUAGGGCUCUGCAAUGAUCAUACACCCUUACCCCACCACCUAGAUACUUAAGAACUGCAUAGGGGAAACUGAGGCACCCCCACAAUAUUCAGAGGAAACAUUAAGAACAGGCCCACUUCGUCACAUCUCUCCCCCUUCGAGAUCGAACUGAGCGGGGUCACUUUAGCCGGUGACCUGGGGAAGUUCGAAGCCACCAACGUUCCCAUGGAUGCCCCAGCAUCUCUCCCGUUCCUUGGUAGGAGUUACACCAGGCCCCUCCAGUUUCACGCCUCCCUUAAGGUCAGGGGUGGUCGAUAGCACUCGCAGGCCGCAUGUGGGAAGGUUUAUGCAGCCCAUGCCCUUUGGCCACCCCAAGAAUGUCUCCCCAUUGACCAUCACCUUCC